rnacentral:piRNA from 1 species
GAGCCACAGUAGCAUUGAGCAUAUGGGU